rnacentral:tRNA from 1 species
UGCGGAGUGGAGAAGUGGCUAUCUCGCCAGCCUCAUAAGCUGGAGAUCACGGGUGCAAGUCCCGUCUCCGCAACCA